rnacentral:rRNA from 1 species
UAAUACAUGCAGUCGAGCGGACAGAUGGGAGCUUGCUCCCUGAUGUUAGCGGCGGACGGGUGAGUAACACGUGGGUAACCUGCCUGUAAGACUGGGAUAACUCCGGGAAACCGGGGCUAAUACCGGAUGGUUGUUUGAACCGCAUGGUUCAAACAUAAAAGGUGGCUUCGGCUACCACUUACAGAUGGACCCGCGGCGCAUUAGCUAGUUGGUGAGGUAAUGGCUCACCAAGGCAACGAUGCGUAGCCGACCUGAGAGGGUGAUCGGCCACACUGGGACUGAGACACGGCCCAGACUCCUACGGGAGGCAGCAGUAGGGAAUCUUCCGCAAUGGACGAAAGUCUGACGGAGCAACGCCGCGUGAGUGAUGAAGGUUUUCGGAUCGUAAAGCUCUGUUGUUAGGGAAGAACAAGUACCGUUCGAAUAGGGCGGUACCUUGACGGUACCUAACCAGAAAGCCACGGCUAACUACGUGCCAGCAGCCGCGGUAAUACGUAGGUGGCAAGCGUUGUCCGGAAUUAUUGGGCGUAAAGGGCUCGCAGGCGGUUUCUUAAGUCUGAUGUGAAAGCCCCCGGCUCAACCGGGGAGGGUCAUUGGAAACUGGGGAACUUGAGUGCAGAAGAGGAGAGUGGAAUUCCACGUGUAGCGGUGAAAUGCGUAGAGAUGUGGAGGAACACCAGUGGCGAAGGCGACUCUCUGGUCUGUAACUGACGCUGAGGAGCGAAAGCGUGGGGAGCGAACAGGAUUAGAUACCCUGGUAGUCCACGCCGUAAAACGAUGAGUGCUAAGUGUUAGGGGGUUUCCGCCCCUUAGUGCUGCAGCUAACGCAUUUAAGCACUCCGCCUGGGGA